rnacentral:rRNA from 1 species
UACGUAGGGGGCAAGCGUUGUCCGGAUUUAUUGGGCGUAAAGAGCGUGUAGGCGGCUUGGUAGGUCUGCUGUGAAAACUCGGGGCUCAACCCCGAGACGUCGGUGGAAACCACCUGGCUAGAGUCCGGAAGAGGAGAGUGGAAUUCCUGGUGUAGCGGUGAAAUGCGCAGAUAUCAGGAAGAAUAUCCGUGGCGAAGGCGGCUCUCUGGGACGGUACUGACGCUGAGGUGCGAAAGCGUGGGGAGCAAACAGG